rnacentral:rRNA from 1 species
AUGAAGCAUAGAUUAUCAUGCAAAGCUGAUGAUAUUGAUAGUAUUGAAGAAGUUAUAGAUAUACAAAGAGAUCUAGAAAGAUACCAGAAAGAUAUCCUAAGAAAAAUAAAACCUCAACAAGUAUAUCACAUGGGUAUGUUUGAAAGUAAGAGUGGUCUAUACAGAAUAUCUCGAGAAGUAGAAUUAAGUGUGUUAACACAUCCAGUAGAUUUAAGAAUUGUAAGCAAAAAUAUUGAAAAUGAGCUAAAAUAUUGUGGUUAUAAAUAUAUUCAUCAAGAAAAAAUGAGUUUUGGUUUCCAAACUAAAGGUUAUGAAGAUUUUAAAGGAACAAAUUUGCUAGUAAGCAUAGAAUUUAUAGGAAGGCUCACUAAUAGAAGUAGCUCCAGAUAUAGAGUAAAUGUGAAUGACGUAAUUGAUAGUAUGCAAUCAAAAGGUAUAAAAUUUAUGAAUCCUCUUAAAAUUGGUUCUCAAGAAAGAGCUGGAGAAGAAUGGAAGAUAGGUGAAUUAAUAGAGAAAAAAGAAUUAAAGCAACCUGAAAACUACAUAAGCUAUCAAAAUUGUGAAGGAAGUAGCAGUAUUCGAUUUAUGAACUAUAAAGCUGCAUCAAUAGAAGACUCUGAAUCUUUUAUGUCAGAAUCAGAAAUUAAUGAUGAUAAAAAUAAAGGUAUAUCUGAAUGCAUGAAAAAGGCUGAUUUAGAUGAUGAAAUAAUUCAUUGGGAAAAGAAGCUAAAGCAUAUUGAAUGGGAAUAUAGUCAUUCUAUGACAAAGGAUUGGCCUAAAAUUAGAGAAAGAGAACUAUUUAUCAUUAGAGAAAUUGCAAGGUUAAAGAAACUAAAAAAUGAUAAAAAGUUUGCCACAAAAAGAAAAGCAAAUGCUAUUAUUCAUAAAAAUGCUAUCAUUAAUAAUAAUAAUAAAGACAAGAAUAUUGUUCAAAAAGAAGAAGUCGUUAGUGAAGAAGAUCAAUGGGAUAUCAAUAAUAAGUUAUUAUUAGAAAGUUAUGAGGAGGAGGAAGAAUUAAUAAAAGAAAUGUGGUUAGAAGAUGAAAGAUAUGAUGAUUCAGAACAAAAUAGUGAUUUCUACAACUCACUAGAUGAUUUAGGAGAAUCUUUAAAAGUUCUAUGGGAACAAUGGGUAGAGUCAUACCCUAGUCAAUAUGAAGAAUUAAAAAGGGCAGGAAGUAACCCUAAUAACUUUGCGAAUGUUAUCUCAAAUAUGAUCAUAGCAGAAGAUCCAGAAUUAGGACAUACCUCAUUACAAAAUGAAAGGUUAAGAGAAAUAGAAAAAUUAACAUUAACUAGCUGGAAAGGUAUAAAAGAAUUUUCCCAGCAUUAUUUGUAUAAUGCUACUACUGCUAAACAAGGUUUUAAUGUAGGUGUAGUAGAAAGAUAUUUUAAUAAAUUGCCUGAUCCUCUAGGUUCCAUAAUAUUUGAGGAGUAUAAAAAGGAAACAGGAGGAAAUGUAGUAAAUAUAUCCCAAGCUAUAACAUUUGUUUUUAAACAAUUAAGGAAGGUGUGUACUAGUAUUCAAGCACAAAGAUCUAUGAAGAAAUCAGAUUACAAUUUUUGCAAUAACAUUGUCCAAAUACCACUAACAUAUGGAGAAGAUAGGCAUAGGAAUCACCUAAGUAGAAAUUCUCCUAAUAAAGACCAGAAAAGAUACUCUAGCAAAUAUGAAGAACAAGAGAGAGUAUUAAUUAUAGAUAGCGUUAAUGAAAAUAUAUUAGUAUGUGAUGAUGAAAUAAAAGACGACGAGUCAAUAUAUUCAAUUAUAGAGACAGAUGAACUAGAAAAUGAGGCUCCAGAAUAUGAAUCGAGUGAAGAUGAAAUAGACCUAAUAGAUGAAUUAGCCGGUUUAAAAAUUGAAAUGAUGAACCAAGUAGAUUGUGAACAUGAUUGGAUUAGAGGAAAAGGUGAUUAUAACAUAAAAUGUGCUUUCUGUAUAUAUUACCCAAGCCAAGAUAAUAGGUUCACAUGUAGCUUGUGUUUAAAACAAGCAUGUGCCUCAUGUCUAAGAACCAAUAAUCAAAAGUGGAGACAAGAAAUAGAAUUAGAACCAGAAGAACGAAUAUUAUCCAGUAGGGUUAGAAAUUUAGAAAAUAGAAUAAAUAAGCUAGAAGUAGAACUAGAAACACUUAAAGAUGAGUUACAAAAUAGUAAUAAGAAAGACAAUAAUGUUGCUGAAAUCAUGGAAAUGAAAGAGCAAAUGGUAACAGUAAGGGAUAAAAAAGGAGACAAAUUAAUACAAUUGAAAGAUGCAAUUACUAGUUUUGGAAACAAAUAUAUUGUUCGAUUACCGUUCAAAGAAGUGUUAGGAAUAAGGAUCCCAGUUAAGAUUGUUCUAAAGCCAAAUAUUUCAUAUUAAAUACUGGCACUAUUAGACACUAGUUGCACUAAGAAUAUCAUCCAUGGUAAAUAUUUUACGAGGUGUCCCGAAAUAGUUGAAACUAUAGAUGAUAAUAAAGCUGAAGUAUCUACUGAUAUGUCAGGAAUAAAGAAGAUCCAUAAUCAGCUAGCAUAUAAUAUUGAAGCUUACAUAAAUGGCACAAAAUAUAUAAUAAAUGAAAUUAUGAUAAGAGAUUUGUCAGUAAUAAAUGAUGACAUGAUAAUAGGGUUAAGAUUUUUACAACAAUCUUUACAAACCACAAUCAUACAUGAAGAAGGGGUAACAUUUAUCCCUUAUCAAGAUAAUGUUCCAUACAUAUCUGAAGUGAGAAAA